rnacentral:rRNA from 1 species
CAACGUGGGUAACCUGCCCAAGAGACUGGGAUAACACCUGGAAACAGAUGCUAAUACCGGAUAACAACACUAGACGCAUGUCUAGAGUUUAAAAGGUGGUUCUGCUAUCACUCUUGGAUGGACCUGCGGUGCAUUAGCUAGUUGGUAAGGUAACGGCUUACCAAGGCAAUGAUGCAUAGCCGAGUUGAGAGACUGAUCGGCCACAUUGGGACUGAGACACGGCCCAAACUCCUACGGAAGGCAGCAG